UACGGAGGAUCCGAGCGUUAUCCGGAUUUAUUGGGUUUAAAGGGUGCGUAGGCGGCCUAUUAAGUCAGGGGUGAAAGACGGUAGCUUAACUAUCGCAGUGCCUUUGAUACUGAUAGGCUUGAAUAUACUUGAGGUAGGCGGAAUGUGACAAGUAGCGGUGAAAAUGCAUAGAUAUGUCACAGAACACCAAUUGCGAAGGCAGCUUACUAAAGUAUGAUUGACGCUGAGGCACGAAAGCGUGGGGAUCAAACAGG
rnacentral:rRNA from 1 species